ensembl:miRNA
AGUUAAGACUAUACUUUCAGGGAUCAUUUCUAUAGUGUGUUACUAGAGAA